rnacentral:tRNA from 1 species
GGCGCCAUCGUCUAGCCUGGCCAAGGAUAUCUGGUUCUCAGCCAGAAGACCCGGGUUCAAAUCCCGGUGGCGCUAUCA